rnacentral:rRNA from 1 species
CUGGCGGCGUGCUUAACACAUGCAAGUCGAACGAGAAAGGGACUUCGGUCCUGAGUAGAGUGGCGCACGGGUGAGUAACGCGUAGGUAAUCUACCUCUGCAUCUGGGAUAACACUUCGAAAGGGGUGCUAAUACCGGAUACACUUAUCAAUCGCAAGGUUGAUAAGGAAAGGAGACCUCUCCUUGGAAGUUUCUGUGUAGAGAUGAGCCUGCGUCCCAUUAGCUAGUUGGCAGGGUAAUGGCCUACCAAGGCGACGAUGGGUAGCGGGUCUGAGAGGAUGAUCCGCCACACUGGAACUGAAACACGGACCACACUCCUACGGGAGGCAGCAGUGAGGAAUAUUGGACAAUGGGCUCAAGCCUGAUCCGGCGACGCCGCCUUGAGUGAUGAAGGCCUUUGGGUCUUAAAGCUCUGU